UUUACCGGCGGGGGACUCCCCCCCCCGGGGGGUGGAAGCCCCAGAACCAGGGGGGGGGGGGAGGGAGCCAACCCAACUAUUUAUUUUAGGCCCCCACCCCAUAUAGGUGAAUAUUCUAAGCGCCUCCCCCCGAGGGGUUUGGAGGGUGGAAAAAAAGUUAGCACAAGCAUCUCCCGCCCUGAAUCAUGGCGGACGAAAAUGAGCGAAAUAAGAUAAGUAAAUUCAAUUAAAGAAUCAAGUGAAUCAUCGUAUCUUUGAACGCACAUUGCGCCCGCCAGUAUUUUGGCGGGCAUGCCUGUUCGAGCGUCAUUUCAACCCUCGAACCCCUCCGGGGGGGCGGCGUUGGGGAUCGGCCCUGCCUUGGCAGUGGCCGUCUCCGAAAUACAGUGGCGGUCUCGCCGCAGCCUCUCCUGCGCAGUAGUUUGCACACUCGCAUCGGGAGCGCGGCGCGUCCACAGCCGUUAAACACCCAACUUCUGAAAUGUUGACCUCGGAUCAGGUAGGAAUACCCGCUGAACUAG
rnacentral:rRNA from 1 species